GUCCACGCCGUAAACGAUGGAUACUAGCUGUUGGGAGCAAUCUCAGUGGCUAAGCGAAAGUGAUAAGUAUCCCACCUGGGGAGUACGUUCGCAAGAAUGAAACUCAAAGGAAUUGACGGGGCCGGCCACAAGCGGUGGAGCAUGUGGUUUAAUUCGAUGAUACGCGAGGAACCUUACCCAAGGCUUAAAUGUAGUUUGACCGUUUGGUAAACAGAACUUUCGCAAGACAAAUUACAAGGUGCUGCAUGGUUGUCGU
rnacentral:rRNA from 1 species